GUAGGGUGCGAGCGUUAAUCGGAAUUACUGGGCGUAAAGCGUGCGCAGGCGGUUUUGUAAGACAGGCGUGAAAUCCCCGGGCUCAACCUGGGAACUGCGUUUGUGACUGCAAGGCUAGAGUAUGGCAGAGGGGGGUGGAAUUCCACGUGUAGCAGUGAAAUGCGUAGAGAUGUGGAGGAACACCGAUGGCGAAGGCAGCCCCCUGGGCCAAUACUGACGCUCAUGCACGAAAGCGUGGGGGUAGCAAACAGGAUUAGAUACCCUGGUAGUCCACGCCCUAAACGAUGUCAACUAGGUGUUGGGUGGGUAAAACCAUUUAGUACCGGAGCUAACGCGUGAAGUUGACCGCCUGGGGAGUACGCCGCAAGGUUA
rnacentral:rRNA from 1 species